rnacentral:ncRNA from 1 species
GAUUCGAUGCAGGGGUGCCGCCGCGUGCGCGCGAGCAGGCUGAGAGGGCAUGCGCCCAACCCUUUGAACCUGUCAGUUAACGUUGGCGUAGGGAGCAUGUCCUCAUGGUUU